UACAGAGGGGGCAAGCGUUACUCGGAAUUACUGGGCGUAAAGCGUGCGUAGGUGGUUUGUUAAGUCUGAUGUGAAAGCCCUGGGCUCAACCUGGGAACGGCAUUGGAAACUGGCUUACUAGAGUGCGGUAGAGGGGUGUGGAAUUCCCGGUGUAGCAGUGAAAUGCGUAGAUAUCGGGAGGAACACCAGUGGCGAAGGCGACUUCCUGGCCUGUUCUUGACGCUGAGGCGCGAAAGCUAGGGUAGCAAACGGG
rnacentral:rRNA from 1 species